GAAAAUUUGCACGAAUAAAAGGGAGGGGACAGGGGCAACGAACGGCAGUGGGCCUAGGGGCGCCCUCUAUGUCAAUCCGGCCCUGCUUCUGCCUACCUCUCUGUCGCCCUACCCUGCCCUCCUCAUCUGUAGCUGUCCCCACCCAUGCCCAUUCAUCUGUCACCAUGGCAUCCCCUGUGAGAUGUCACAGCACAUGGAUGAGCAGACACACAACAUGGGAGCGAGGUGGCCAGCCAGGUUGCCUAGGAUGCCCUGUUGUCUUGGCCCAGUUAGAUCUACUUAAUCAAAUUUUAGCAUUCAAAAAGGUAUGACAGUGCAACAAAACUUACCCAAUGGUUUCCAAAGGUACUGAGCUUCAUAGUAUCAUUUAUAGUAUCAUUACAACUACUCAUAAGAACAGUUUGUCAAAGAACAAAGCAUAUACCUAAGGGUAUUCAAAGGUGCUAAGCUUAAAUAUCCUUUUACCCAAAAUGCUUGCAUACUAUAUACAGUAUGUUGUAGCCAAGGAAGAAAACAUGUUAUACAAAUGACUUUUUUGGUUUUCACACAAACCUAACAACAGCUUUUCUAUAAAUAUAUAAAGUAGUAACUGUUGCACAUGUAUAGCAUUGCCAUUCUGUUAGUGACACAAACUGCUUGUUCCAUGUUAUACCCUUUUUUGUGGUCCCGCCAAUAUAUAAUGCAUAAUACAUUUCCCUGACGUUACACCCAUUUUUUCUGGUCCCCUGAAAAAUGUAAAAUGGGGGUUCUACUGUACAAAAAUAGAGUAACAACAGCAGGAAGAGGUUGUGCAAAAUGUCACGAGAUUAGAAUCUAUGUUUAUACAUUCUAUUUCAGUCUAAGGGAAAGCUGCAUUAUUCCCAGAGAAGGGUUAAAAGUAAUCCAAAAAGAAACAAUGAGGUGGAUAAAGGACAGGAGCAAGAGAGGGGUGAGGUACAAUAAUAUAUAUUAUAUUAUUGUAGAUAUUUCUAUCUAUACAGAUAUAUAGAGUGAUAGGGGCCAUGGUUGAAUGGAAGUAUUUCAUAUUCAAAAAACUUGUAUUCAUCUCCCCCAAUUGUAAGUCAGAUACCCAAAACCUAAUUUAAGAUUGGGGCAUAAAACCAGGAACUAGAACUGCAGUUAAAGGUGAAUAAUUGGGUUGAGUGAGAGAGUUUCACUUCAAGCUCUGUCCAUGAGACACCUCUCCAGCCUUAGAGCUGCAGACUAAAUAUUGCAAUGUGACAUCUGGAAUAGAGUGGACCGUAGAGACUGUUCAGAAACCUUAUGGCAGGAGUGCAUGGGUAAAAUCACCUACCUGGUAUCAUCCAACAACAUCUUCUUGUGCAAGUUUAUGCCAGGAGUGUUUCCAGAAACUUUUCCAGACUUGGUUCCACCACCAAACAAGAACCCCAGCAAAGAAAACAUCUAAGAAAGAGGCUCUUCCCAAAAGUCAUCAGAAGGCAGGAGAUCAGUGCCAGUAACAUAGAGAAGAAGCAGCUCAUGGUGCUUGCAGGCGGCAGCUUUGAGAUCUGGUCAUGCUCAGGAUGUAGCAGAUAUUUGUCUGGAUAUCAGCCAGCAAGAUCAACAGAGGAAGAACAUCACCCAGUGGAACAACAUCUUCCCAAUGUACCAUCUACAGAGCACCCAGAAUGUUUUCCAACUGGCAGGAUGAUAUGACAAGGUGCUACACACACUUCACAUACAGCCACACUCACAGCACUACACACAUUACAUCAUACAGGCUGACAGAUGCACACACAGACAUACAUUCAUAUCCUGACACAGGACUAUAGAGAGACAGACAGACUGACUUCUUAAGCAGACACACAGACAUAGGACUACUGUGACUGACAUAACCUGACAGACUUCUUUUCCACCAGUGCAGCUACAUUUACCUUCAGAUGGCAUAUGUACAUGAGCCUUACAGCCACUAGGAGGCCUCUGUAUUCCUCUCUCAUCCAUCUGUCGGGCUGCAGGUGUGGGGGUCUGCAGGCCACCGGGGAGGCAAAUGGAACGGAGAGGAAUGCAGAGGACACCAAGUGGCUGGAAAGCUCAUGUGUAUGCAGCCAUAUUCUUGUCCAGCAAGAUCUGGGGCAUUGAUCCUGGGAGCAAAUCCGAUCACCAUUAAGCGGUCAGGAAGGAAUUUUUCCCUCUAGUAAAGCAGAUUGGGCCGAGUUUCUCAGAGGUUUUUUUUUGCCUCCCUCAGGAUCAAAGGGCUCACUACCCAGCUGCGGCUCUCAGGGAAGUGGCAUAGAGGCCCCUCUCCCAUCCUAAGCUCUGCCUUUGUGCAGCCCCUCCACCAGGAGUUUAUCUGGGAUCCACAGGUGGGAGGGAAUCCAUCUACUUUCCAUCUAAUGUAUCUUAUUAAUAAACUUGUGAUUCACAGGUUAAGCUAAA